AGUGAACCAGUACCGUGAGGGAAAGGCGAAAAGAACCCCGGCGAGGGGAGUGAAAAAGAACCUGAAACCGUGUACGUACAAGCAGUGGGAGCACCUUCGGGUGUGACUGCGUACCUUUUGUAUAAUGGGUCAGCGACUUAUAUUCUGUAGCAAGGUUAACCGUAUAGGGGAGCCGCAGGGAAACCGAGUCUUAACUGGGCGUUAAGUUGCAGGGUAUAGACCCGAAACCCGGUGAUCUAGCCAUGGGCAGGUUGAAGGUUGGGUAACACUAACUGGAGGACCGAACCGACUAAUGUUGAAAAAUUAGCGGAUGACUUGUGGCUGGGGGUGAAAGGCCAAUCAAACCGGGAGAUAGCUGGUUCUCCCCGAAAGCUAUUUAGGUAGCGCCUCGUGAAUUCAUCUUCGGGGGUAGAGCACUGUUUCGGCUAGGGGGUCAUCCCGACUUACCAACCCGAUGCAAACUACGAAUACCGAAGAAUGUUAUCACGGGAGACACACGGCGGGUGCUAACGUCCGUCGUGAAGAGGGAAACAACCCAGACCGCCAGCUAAGGUCCCAAAGUCACAGUUAAGUGGGAAACGAUGUGGGAAGGCACAGACAGCCAGGAUGUUGGCUUAGAAGCAGCCAUCAUUUAAAGAAAGCGUAAUAGCUCACUGGUCGAGUCGGCCUGCGCGGAAGAUGUAACGGGGCUAAACUGUGCACCGAAGCUGCGGCAGCGACACUUAGGUGUUGUUGGGUAGGGGAGCGUUCUGUAAGCCUGCGAAGGUGGCCUGUGAGGGGUGCUGGAGGUAUCAGAAGUGCGAAUGCUGACAUAAGUAACGAUAAUGCGGGUGAAAAGCCCGCACGCCGGAAGACCAAGGGUUCCUGUCCAACGUUAAUCGGGGCAGGGUGAGUCGACCCCUAAGGCGAGGCCGAAAGGCGUAGUCGAUGGGAAACAGGUUAAUAUUCCUGUACUUGGUGUUACUGCGAAGGGGGGACGGAGAAGGCUAUGUUAGCCGGGCGACGGUUGUCCCGGUUUAAGCAUGUAGGCGGAGGUUCCAGGUAAAUCCGGUACCUUUUAACGCUGAGGUGUGAUGACGAGGCACUACGGUGCUGAAGUAACAAAUGCCCUGCUUCCAGGAAAAGCCUCUAAGCAUCAGGUAACAUUGAAUCGUACCCCAAACCGACACAGGUGGUCAGGUAGAGAAUACCAAGGCGCUUGAGAGAACUCGGGUGAAGGAACUAGGCAAAAUGGUGCCGUAACUUCGGGAGAAGGCACGCUGAUAUGUAGGUGAAGCCCCUGCGGGUGGAGCUGAAAUCAGUCGAAGAUACCAGCUGGCUGCAACUGUUUAUUAAAAACACAGCACUGUGCAAACACGAAAGUGGACGUAUACGGUGUGACGCCUGCCCGGUGCCGGAAGGUUAAUUGAUGGGGUUAUCCGUAAGGAGAAGCUCUUGAUCGAAGCCCCGGUAAACGGCGGCCGUAACUAUAACGGUCCUAAGGUAGCGAAAUUCCUUGUCGGGUAAGUUCCGACCUGCACGAAUGGCGUAAUGAUGGCCAGGCUGUCUCCACCCGAGACUCAGUGAAAUUGAACUCGCUGUGAAGAUGCAGUGUACCCGCGGCAAGACGGAAAGACCCCGUGAACCUUUACUAUAGCUUGACACUGAACAUUGAGCCUUGAUGUGUAGGAUAGGUGGGAGGCUUUGAAGCGUGGACGCCAGUCUGCGUGGAGCCAACCUUGAAAUACCACCCUUUAAUGUUUGAUGUUCUAACGUUGGCCCCUGACCGGGGUUGCGGACAGUGUCUGGUGGGUAGUUUGACUGGGGCGGUCUCCUCCCAAAGAGUAACGGAGGAGCACGAAGGUUAGCUAAUCCUGGUCGGACAUCAGGAGGUUAGUGCAAUGGCAUAAGCUAGCUUGACUGCGAGCGUGACGGCGCGAGCAGGUGCGAAAGCAGGUCAUAGUGAUCCGGUGGUUCUGAAUGGAAGGGCCAUCGCUCAACGGAUAAAAGGUACUCCGGGGAUAACAGGCUGAUACCGCCCAAGAGUUCAUAUCGACGGCGGUGUUUGGCACCUCGAUGUCGGCUCAUCACAUCCUGGGGCUGAAGUAGGUCCCAAGGGUAUGGCUGUUCGCCAUUUAAAGUGGUACGCGAGCUGGGUUUAGAACGUCGUGAGACAGUUCGGUCCCUAUCUGCCGUGGGCGCUGGAGAAUUGAGGGGGGCUGCUCCUAGUACGAGAGGACCGGAGUGGACGCAUCACUGGUGUUCGGGUUGUCAUGCCAAUGGCAUUGCCCGGUAGCUAAAUGCGGAAGAGAUAAGUGCUGAAAGCAUCUAAGCACGAAACUUGCCCCGAGAUGAGUUCUCCCUGAGACUUUAAGUCUCCUGAAGGAACGUUAAAGACGAUGACGUUGAUAGGUCGGGUGUGUAAGCGUAGCGAUACGUUGAGCUAACCGAUACUAAUGAACCGUGAGGCUUAACCUU
rnacentral:rRNA from 1 species